AUUUCGGCAUUACGCCUGAAACAAAAAAAGCUGAGAGAUUACGUCAGUGAGAUGGUGAACCUCCCGAAGAUGCAGAUGAUCAUGUGCGACCUCAGUGCGAAUUGGAAUAACUCCUAUCGGGAGCUGGAGCAGCGAAUCCUCUCCAUGGAGCAGAAGCUGGACGAGCUGAGUCGCUGCUUCCGUCAAACCUCCGAGUUACUGUCCCAGGUCCUCCGUCACCGCAGCCCAGAGAUCAGGUGACAUGGCUCCACACACUUGUUCCCGGGACAGAUUAUCGUCUUCAGUGUUUUCAUCUACAGUCUCCAUGAGAAAGAGGCAACCGCAGCGGCUCUCGACUCCUAACAAGCGGAACCACUUGAAGGACUGGCAUACCUACUACAGAGUUCAUCUUCUGGCUCAGAGCACUGCACAAUGACUCGUGGCUGUAAUAUUAUACGGAGACAAUAAGUUACACUCCCUGUGUGAGAAUCACACAGCACGUUUUGAGAAAUCUUUUGUGUUUCCAGCAGUUAUAUAUGUGUGACGGUGCACUGGAUUAAUCUCAAAGGAGCACUGUGGAGAGGCUUGUAAUCCACAUCGUCAAAGGCUCCAGAGUACAGAAUGAACCCUAAUCCUAUUUGUAAGGUUUCAUUGAUGGACUCCAUCACUGCCUUAUUCUUGUGGAAUAAGAUACAUAUUUUUAGAUUUUAAUUAUAUUUGAUAUUUCUUUGCAGUUAUUUACAGUGUAAUCUUAAUCAGUUUUAUAAAAAAACCUCUGCUCCUCUUUUUCAUUGAUGAUUGUUCUCAAACUCUGACGAUUCCUCAUUGUUCUGCUUUGCUCUAACCCAUCAAUUGAAUUAUGAAUGCAAUGAUGCGACUUGAUGCUCAACAGAGAAGAAACUAAACUUCAAUUCAAGUAUCGUGGGAAGAAAACUUUAUUUCAAACUGUAAAUCCUUGGUUUUUAUAAGCGAUAACAACUAAAACCCAUAUAUUGAUGUUUAUGUAUAUGGUUGUAAUUAUCUGCACCAAUUAUCUUUACACCUGCUCUGAGAACAAUGCCACUUGGGUGUGAGUUUUCUGAGCACAACACAACUGCUCCAUCUAGUGGACAUGAACACACAAAAAUACAUAAUAUUGUGGAAAGCUGACAUUGAAAUCAUGGAGAUUAUAUAACAACUUGCAAAAACAGACAUGCUAUUUUAACCUAAAUACUAAGACCCCUAUAAUGUCUCACAUACUUAUAACAUUUGAUUCCGCUGGAGUAAAAACAAAUAUGAAAAGCAAGAGGAAUCUUACACAAACCUCACUGUUAAGAAUGCACUUUGUGAGAAGAACAAUGGCAAAACUGGAUUAACUCUUUCGCUGGAGGAUAAACUGGAGUCUUGAUGUCUUAAUUUAAUCCAAUACUGGAGAUUGUUCCAUGUGGAUUCAUUUGUACACUUGUGUAUUGUCAAAAGAAAAGAACAGGAACUUGUUUAUCUGUAUCAUGUAUCAUUUGCACGAGGUAAAAACAUGUUAACAUACAUCCAGGACAUUCAUAUAAUUAAAAUCCAUGAAGAAUUAAUGCA